rnacentral:rRNA from 1 species
AGAGUUUGAUCCUGGCUCAGGAUGAACGCUGGCGGCGUGCCUAAUACAUGCAAGUCGAGCGAACGGACGAGAAGCUUGCUUCUCUGAUGUUAGCGGCGGACGGGUGAGUAACACGUGGAUAACCUACCUAUAAGACUGGGAUAACUUCGGGAAACCGGAGCUAAUACCGGAUAAUAUUUUGAACCGCAUGGUUCAAAAGUUAAAGACGGUCUUGCUGUCACUUAUAGAUGGAUCCGCGCUGCAUUAGCUAGUUGGUAAGGUAACGGCUUACCAAGGCGACGAUGCAUAGCCGACCUGAGAGGGUGAUCGGCCACACUGGAACUGAGACACGGUCCAGACUCCUACGGGAGGCAGCAGUAGGGAAUCUUCCGCAAUGGGCGAAAGCCUGACGGAGCAACGCCGCGUGAGUGAUGAAGGUCUUCGGAUCGUAAAACUCUGUUAUUAGGGAAGAACAUAUGUGUAAGUAACUGUGCACAUCUUGACGGUACCUAAUCAGAAAGCCACGGCUAACUACGUGCCAGCAGCCGCGGUAAUACGUAGGUGGCAAGCGUUAUCCGGAAUUAUUGGGCGUAAAGCGCGCGUAGGCGGUUUUUUAAGUCUGAUGUGAAAGCCCACGGCUCAACCGUGGAGGGUCAUUGGAAACUGGAAAACUUGAGUGCAGAAGAGGAAAGUGGAAUUCCAUGUGUAGCGGUGAAAUGCGCAGAGAUAUGGAGGAACACCAGUGGCGAAGGCGACUUUCUGGUCUGUAACUGACGCUGAUGUGCGAAAGCGUGGGGAUCAAACAGGAUUAGAUACCCUGGUAGUCCACGCCGUAAACGAUGAGUGCUAAGUGUUAGGGGGUUUCCGCCCCUUAGUGCUGCAGCUAACGCAUUAAGCACUCCGCCUGGGGAGUACGACCGCAAGGUUGAAACUCAAAGGAAUUGACGGGGACCCGCACAAGCGGUGGAGCAUGUGGUUUAAUUCGAAGCAACGCGAAGAACCUUACCAAAUCUUGACAUCCUUUGACAACUCUAGAGAUAGAGCCUUCCCCUUCGGGGGACAAAGUGACAGGUGGUGCAUGGUUGUCGUCAGCUCGUGUCGUGAGAUGUUGGGUUAAGUCCCGCAACGAGCGCAACCCUUAAGCUUAGUUGCCAUCAUUAAGUUGGGCACUCUAAGUUGACUGCCGGUGACAAACCGGAGGAAGGUGGGGAUGACGUCAAAUCAUCAUGCCCCUUAUGAUUUGGGCUACACACGUGCUACAAUGGACAAUACAAAGGGCAGCGAAACCGCGAGGUCAAGCAAAUCCCAUAAAGUUGUUCUCAGUUCGGAUUGUAGUCUGCAACUCGACUACAUGAAGCUGGAAUCGCUAGUAAUCGUAGAUCAGCAUGCUACGGUGAAUACGUUCCCGGGUCUUGUACACACCGCCCGUCACACCACGAGAGUUUGUAACACCCGAAGCCGGUGGAGUAACCUUUUAGGAGCUAGCCGUCGAAGGUGGGACAAAUGAUUGGGGUGAAGUCGUAACAAGGUAGCCGUAUCGGAAGGUGCGGCUGGAUCACCU